rnacentral:rRNA from 1 species
AAAUCCCCGGGCUUAACCUGGGAAUGGCGCCUGUGACUGUAUAGCUAGAGUGUGUCAGNGGGGGGUAGAAUUCCACGUGUGACAGUGAAAUGCGUAGGUAUGUGGAGGAAUACCAAUGGCGAAGGCAGCCCCUGGGAUAACACUGACGCUCAUGCACGAAAGCGUGGGGAGCAAACAGGAUUAGAUACCCUGGUAGUCCACGCCCUAAACGAUGCUGACUAGUUGUUCGGGAUUUACAUCCUGAGUAACGUAGCUAACGCGUGAAGUCAGCCGCCUGGGGAGUACGGUCGCAAGAUUAAAACUCAAAGGAAUUGACGGGGACCCGCACAAGCGGUGGAUGAUGUGGAUUGAUUCGAUGCAACGC